GAGGGUAUAGCACAGUGGUAGAGUGCAUGCUUAGCACACAUGAUAUCCUGGGUUUAAUUGCCAGUACCUCCA
rnacentral:tRNA from 1 species